UACGUAGGGAGCAAGCGUUGUCCGGAAUCAUUGGGCGUAAAGGGCGCGUAGGCGGCUGGGGAAGUCGGCGGUGAAAGCCCGGAGCUCAACUCCGGGUCGGCCGUCGAGACUCCUCGGCUCGAGCUCACUAGAGGCAGAUGGAAUUCCGGGUGUAGCGGUGAAAUUCGUAGAUAUCGGGAGGAACACCAGUGGCGAAGGCGGCGAUCUGGGUCGAUACUGACGCUGAGGUGCGAAAGCGUGGGGAGCAAACAGG
rnacentral:rRNA from 1 species